rnacentral:lncRNA from 10 species
CUCGUGCACGGUUCGCGCACCCACUGACCUGCGCCCACUGUCUGGCACUCCCUAGUGAGAUGAACCCAGUACCUCAGAUGGAAAUGCAGAAAUCACCAUCUUCUGCGUCGCUCACGCUGGGAGCUGUAGACCGGAGCUGUUCCUAUUCGGCCAUCUUGAAUUGUAGGCAUUUUUAAAAACAGACUCUGGAGAUGAAUCUUUUCUAGUUAUAUACUUUGUAUUACAUUUAUGCACUGUCUGCUGCCAAAGAUCUGAAACCAAUGAUCUCAUAUAUAUGAGUGUGUACUAGUCUCAGUAAGUCAAUGGGUUUCCCUGGAUCCAGGCUUGGAGAAAAUGUUUUCUCUUCUCUAUCUGCAAUUCUCCUGAACCAAUUCUGACGGAUAAUAUGACUGUGUCAACCACAAAAGAGGAAAAGAAUGGGCUUUAAAUCCCGCCUUUACAGCCAUCCAAGGCAGCUCCUUCUUCAAAGGAUGGAACUUUAAGGAUGGAACCAAUUGGCUACAAAUCAUUUUAGCUGAUGCACUGAGACAAUUCUGAAGCAAACUGUCUUAUCCUGGAUUUUGUCAGUAACUGGAGUUGAAGGACUUGAAGAUUCUCAAGGAUUGAUCCAGAAUAUGUUCCAGCAAAAACUACAGCAGAGUAACUUUGACAAGAAAAAUGUUCACUUGCUACCUAAGGAGAGUCUCUGUCUCCUGACCUCUGAAUUUCGAAAUCCUCAGCUCUGGCUGCCACGCAGUGGGAACCGAAUGAGUAUGUACUGAAUGGCGAAUCCUAGUUCAGUCACUUGACUAGCUGGGUGACCUUGAGCAAGUAACUUAGCUUCUUGAAGCCUCAGUCUCCUUAUCUAUAAAAUGGGACUCAAAGGCUGAGUCGAGUAUUAAAUGAAAUAAUACACGUAAAGCACAGUGCCAAAAAUCUGGUAAUAACUCCAUCAGUAUAAGGCCACCUUAUUUGCCUUCUUUCACAAUUAUCACCAGAAUUGAAUUAAAAUUCAGAUGUGAUCAUGUCUUGAAAUGUAGAAAGAGUUAUGAAAAUGUAAGACUUACUAAGUUCACUUAUCGAACAUUUUUUGACCACCUACUAUGUGCUAUGCCUUGGACUAGGCUAGAGAUACAACAGUAAACAUCUUGACUAACGGAGAUUAUGCUGCUAUCUUGAAAUUUUGCCUGUUCCCAAAAGCCCCCAGCAUAUUAAUUUUGUUAAAUAUAUAUUCCCUUAUUAUAUAUAUAAAACAUAUAUAUCCU